rnacentral:rRNA from 1 species
UUGGGCUUAAAGCGCGUGUAGGCUGUUUUUAAGUCUGAUGUGAAAGCCCGGGGCUUAACCCCGGAAGUGCAUUGGAUACUGGGAAACUAGAGGGCGAGAGAGGAAGGCGGAAUUCCUGGUGUAGGGGUGAAAUCCGUAGAUAUCAGGAGGAACACCGGAAGCGAAGGCGGCUUUCUGGCUCGCAACUGACGCUGAGACGCGAAAGCGUGGGGAGCAAACAGGAUUAGAUACCCUUGUA